GUUUGUUUUCAGUGCGACCAUGAAAUAGGUUAUUACAGAAAGUUACGUUAUGUGAGCACUAUAUCAGUUGAGGUGACGUUAGGCAGUAUGGGUUAUUGCAUUUUGAGCACAUGUGAGACCGACGCCGUUGAUGCUAAUUUUAAAGAAGAACUGGAAGGAUCGACUGGUUUUCGAGUACAUUUCAGACAAUUCCGACCGAUUUACACGGUGAAGCGAAAGGAGAAAGCGCUGGCCGGAACGCAAUGCUUACAGCUAACGGAUGCAUAAAUCUGUAGACAGAUGAAAAAUUCCCACAGGGGUUAGAUACAACUCAAAAGCGCAGACGCUAAUCGGUUGGACACGACCGUUUGCUUGCAUAUUCAAUAGUUUGAUGUGUUCCAUUGCGGUGACCGGCUGUGUCGAUUCAGCUGAAAGUGGUAAGAACAAUAUAGGUAACAACAAAAACAGCAGUGCCCUAUUGAUCGGUGGCAAAGAUAUUCUUCGCAUCAACAACAACAGCAGCAAUGGUAAUGCUGAUGACGACAGUAGACAACAGAAAAGUCCUCACCGCUUUUUUCGUUCAACUGAACCAACAACGUCAUUCGUGUAUGAACCAUUGAAUGAGAAAUGAAAGGCAAACGGCCGAAUAGCGAUCUGUUUUAUGCAGAAAUACAAUGGAUAUAUAAUGCCAAGAUGGUAUGGGCCAUGCUAUCAGCAUCUUCAUUGUUGCGCAUGAGGAUGAAAACUCUACGUUCUUAAUCGCAAAGCAUAGCUUGCAUUAUGGCUGACUUCAAUUUGCGAAGAUUACACAAUCGAUGUCAUUGCUACCCACGCGAGCAUUCAACGGCAGAAUGAUUGUUCGAUUGAUCCGGUGAACAGACGAAGGGGUGACGUGGACUAGCACAGCAGCGCCAUUCCGAGAAAUUCGUUCGCGUCAAGGAUUGUUGCGCUGACAACGCAGAGAACAACAGAUUAUAAUGGCAUGAUUAGUCCGUAUACUAUACGAACAAUAUUAAAAAACAAAACCGGUACUACUGACUAAGUUAUUACAUCUGUCCUACUCUAUGUGAUCAUUGUACUGCG